rnacentral:rRNA from 1 species
CAGUCGCCGCGGGAAAACGGAGGGUGCAAGCGUUAAUCGGAAUUACUGGGCGUAAAGCGCACGCAGGCAGUUUGUUAAGUCAGAUGUGAAAUCCCCGAGCUUAACUUGGGAACUGCAUUUGAAACUGGCAAGCUAGAGUCUUGUAGAGGGGGGUAGAAUUCCAGGUGUAGCGGUGAAAUGCGUAGAGAUCUGGAGGAAUACCGGUGGCGAAGGCGGCCCCCUGGACAAAGACUGACGCUCAGGUGCGAAAGCGUGGGGAGCAAACAGGAUUAGAUACCCCGGUAGUCCCUGUCUCUUAUAC